CCGAAAAGGUGAUGAUUGUUCUCGACGGCAACGAUGCCGUGCGGUGCGAGUGGAAACCCAUAAUAGGAUUGUGGCUUUUUUCGUUCGGGGCUGUCGUCACGAAAUGUCCGCUCCCAAGAGGAGGGCCUGUGUCUAUGAUUACGGUAUGGUCCCGUUAGCCUAAUAUCGAGUCAUGGAGUUUUGUGCAGAAUUCUCACGUGAGCAGAACCGAAACAGAUUCGGCAACUGUUAGCCGAAUUAUUAACCUCCAUAAUAAAUGGACAAUGUCCAUUGUACAUGCUUUCAAUAAAAUUGAACAAUUGAAUUUCAUAUUCUGUAAAUAAUAA